UACGAAGGGGGCUAGCGUUGCUCGGAUUCACUGGGCGUAAAGGGUGCGUAGGCGGGUCUUUAAGUCAGGGGUGAAAUCCUGGAGCUCAACUCCAGAACUGCCUUUGAUACUGAGGAUCUUGAGUUCGGGAGAGGUGAGUGGAACUGCGAGUGUAGAGGUGAAAUUCGUAGAUAUUCGCAAGAACACCAGUGGCGAAGGCGGCUCACUGGCCCGAUACUGACGCUGAGGCACGAAAGCGUGGGGAGCAAACAGG
rnacentral:rRNA from 1 species